GACGAACGCUGGCGGCGUGCUUAACACAUGCAAGUCGAACGGUGAAGCGCUUGCCUUUUUGGUGGGUGUGGAUGAGUGGCGAACGGGUGAGUAACACGUGAGUAACCUGCCCUCUUCUUCUGGAUAACCUCAUGAAAGUGGGGCUAAUACGGGGUAUUCCGGGUCUGUCGCAUGGCGGGUUUGGGAAAGAUUGCGCCUUUGGGUGUUUUCGGUGGGGGAUGGGCUCGCGGCCUAUCAGCUUGUUGGUGGGGUGAUGGCCUACCAAGGCGGUGACGGGUAGCCGGCCUGAGAGGGUGGACGGCCACACUGGGACUGAGACACGGCCCAGACUCCUGCGGGAGGCAGCAGUGGGGAAUAUUGCGCAAUGGGCGCAAGCCUGAUGCAGCGACGCCGCGUGAGGGAUGGAGGCCUUCGGGUUGUGAACCUCUUUCGCCAGUGAAGCAGGCCUGCUCCUGUGUGGGUAGGUUGACGGUAGCUGGAUAAGAAGCGCCGGCUAACUACGUG
rnacentral:rRNA from 1 species